rnacentral:rRNA from 1 species
UACAGAGGGUGCAAGCGUUGUUCGGAAUUAUUGGGCGUAAGGCGCGUGUAGGCGGCUUUGCAAGUCGGGUGUGAAAUCCCUCAGCUCAACUGAGGAAGUGCGCCCGAAACUGCAGAGCUUGAGUACCGGAGAGGAUGGGCGGAAUUCCCAAGUAGAGGUGAAAUUCGUAGAUAUGGGGAGGAACACCGGUGGCGAAGGCGGCCAUCUGGACGGAUACUGACGCUGAGACGCGAAAGCGUGGGGAGCAAACAGGGAUUAAGAU